UACGGAGGAUGCAAGCAUUAUCCGGAAUUAUUGGGCGUAAAGCGUCCGUAGGUGGCUAUUCAAGUCAGUUGUUAAAGCGUGGGGCUUAACUCCAUAAAGGCAAAUGAAACUGAUUAGCUAGAGUGCGAUAGGGGCAAGGGGAAUUUCCAGUGUAGCGGUGAAAUGCGUAGAUAUUGGAAAGAACACCGGUGGCGAAAGCGCCUUGCUGGGUCUGCACUGACACUGAGGGACGAAAGCUAGGGGAGCGAAAGGG
rnacentral:rRNA from 1 species